UUAGAUAGAGGUGCAGAUGACAAAAGUAGCUUUGUUGAGUGGCGGUCAUGUUGAGACAAAGUGAAAGGGGAAUUUGCCGAAAUGGAAAUUUUAACCGAAAAAAAUUUCUAUUGGCGAUAUAAAUAAUAUUUAUAUUGCUGUCAUUGAAAAUAUUUUCAAUGGAGUGCUAUCUGU
rnacentral:ncRNA from 1 species